rnacentral:rRNA from 1 species
CGGAGGAGCAUGUGGUUUAAUUCGAUGAUACGCGAGGAACUUACCUGGGCUCGAACGUAAGAUGACUGUAGGUGAAAGCUUACAUCUCUUCGGAGCAUUUUACGAGGUGCUGCAUGGUUGUCGUCAGCUCGUGCCGUGAGGUGUCGGGUUAAGUCCCAUAACGAGCGCAACCCCUACCUUUAGUUGCCAUCAGGUAAUGCUGGGGACUCUAAAGGAACCGCCUACGCAAGUAGUGAGGAAGGCGGGGAUGACGUCAAAUCAGCACGGCCCUUACGUCCAGGGCUACACACGUGCUACAAUGGCCGAUACAGAGGGCAGCUACCUGGUGACAGGAUGCAAAUCUCCAAAGUCGGUCUCAGUUCGGAUCGGAGUCUGCAACCCGACUCCGUGAAGUUGGAUUCGCUAGUAAUCGCGCAUCAGCCAUGGCGCGGUGAAUACGUUCCCGGGCCUU